rnacentral:rRNA from 1 species
UACGAAGGGGGCUAGCGUUGCUCGGAAUCACUGGGCGUAAAGGGUGCGUAGGCGGGUCUUUAAGUCAGGGGUGAAAUCCUGGAGCUCAACUCCAGAACUGCCUUUGAUACUGAAGAUCUUGAGUUCGGGAGAGGUGAGUGGUAACUGCGAGUGUAGAGGUGAAAUUCGUAGAUAUUCGCAAGAACACCAGUGGCGAAGGCGGCUCACUGGCCCGAUACUGACGCUGAGGCACGAAAGCGUGGGGAGCAACAGG